rnacentral:rRNA from 1 species
CAGUCUGCAACUCGACUGCACGAAGUCGGAAUUGCUGUAAUCGCGGAUCAGCAUGCCGCGGUGAAUACGUUCCCGGGCCUUGUACACACCGCCCGUCACACCAUGAGAGUCGGAAACACCCGAAGUCGGUAGUCUAACCUCGUGAGGACGCCGCCGAAGGUGGGCUUGAUAAUUGGGGUGAAGUCGUAACAAGGUAGC